AUAGCUCAGUGGUAGAGCAAUUGACUGCAGAUCAAUAGGUCACCGGUUCGCACCCGGUU
rnacentral:tRNA from 1 species